AUUGAACGCUGGCGGCAGGCUUAACACAUGCAAGUCGAGCGAGCGGCGGACGGGUGAGUAAUGUCUGGGAAACUGCCUGAUGGCGGGGGAUAACUACUGGAAACGGUAGCUAAUACCGCAUACCAUCAGAUGUGCCCAUAUGGGAUUAGCUAGUAGGUAGGGUAAUGGCUCACCUAGGCGACGAUCCCUAGCUGGUCUGAGAGGAUGACCAGCCACACUGGAACUGAGACACGGUCCAGACUCCUACGGGAGGCAGCAGUGGGGAAUAUUGCACAAUGGGUGCAAGCCUGAUGCAGCCAUGCCGCGUGUAUGAAGAAGGCCUUCGGGUUGUAAAGUACUUUCAGCGGGGAGGCGUUACUCACAGAAGAAGCACCGGCUAACUCCGUGCCAGCAGCCGCGGUAAUUC
rnacentral:rRNA from 1 species